UGCCUCCUGGUGUUGAAUCUCCAUCGGAUACUCUACGGUCCUCUCCUUUCCUCCCAUUUCCAAAUCUAUCCUCCCGACGCCAAUCAUUGAUAAUCUCAGGCCGAGCUGGACUUUUCUUGUAAUCAUUGUACUGUCGACCUUCUUGAACAUAUCCAGGGCUUCGCCUCUCAUCAUAUCUGCUAUUUUUAUCAUCACUUCUUCCACCAGGACUAGACCUUUGAUUGAAACGCCGUUCAUAGACAUCCUCAUAUGGUGGACUCCGAGAGCCUCCUUGGUAUGCGUCGGUUCGUUUAUUCUCAAAUAGAUCUUCUUUUUCACCCUGUAUAAA
rnacentral:lncRNA from 1 species